rnacentral:rRNA from 1 species
UUGUGUGAAUACAUAGCACAUUCGAGGUAGACGCAGAGAACUGAAACAUCUAAGUACCUGCAGGAAGAGAAAGAAAAUUCGAUUCCCUGAGUAGCGGCGAGCGAAACGGGAAAAGCCCAAACCAGCAAGCUUGCUUGUUGGGGUUGUAGGACUCCAAUAUGGUAGUUCUUUCAGAUAGUCGAAUGACUUGGAAAAGUCAGUCAAAGAGGGUAAAAACCCCGUAGACGAAAUGUGGAAGACACCUAGGAGGAUCCUGAGUACGGCGGAACACGAGAAAUUCCGUCGGAAUCCGGGAGGACCAUCUCCCAAGGCUAAAUACUCCCUAGUGACCGAUAGUGAACCAGUACCGUGAGGGAAAGGUGAAAAGCACCCCGGAAGGGGAGUGAAAUAGAACCUGAAACCGUGUGCCUACAACAAGUCAAAGCCCGUUAAUGGGUGAUGGCGUGCCUUUUGUAGAAUGAACCGGCGAGUUACGAUUGCAUGCGAGGUUAAGUUGAAGAGACGGAGCCGCAGCGAAAGCGAGUCUGAAUAGGGCGUUUGAGUAUGUAGUCGUAGACCCGAAACCAUGUGAUCUACCCAUGUCCAGGUUGAAGGUGCGGUAAAACGCACUGGAGGACCGAACCCACGUACGUUGAAAAGUGCGGGGAUGAGGUGUGGGUAGCGGAGAAAUUCCAAACGAACUUGGAGAUAGCUGGUUCUCUCCGAAAUAGCUUUAGGGCUAGCCUCGGAAUUGAGAAUGAUGGAGGUAGAGCACUGUUUGGACUAGGGGCCCAUCUCGGGUUACCGAAUUCAGAUAAACUCCGAAUGCCAUUCAUUCAUAUCCGGGAGUCAGACUGUGAGUGAUAAGAUCCAUAGUCGAAAGGGAAACAGCCCAGACCACCAGCUAAGGUCCCAAAAUAUAUGUUAAGUGGAAAAGGAUGUGGGGUUGCACAGACAACUAGGAUGUUGGCUUAGAAGCAGCCACCAUUUAAAGAGUGCGUAAUAGCUCACUAGUCGAGUGACCCUGCGCCGAAAAUGUACCGGGGCUAAACAUAUUACCGAAGCUGUGGAGUACACCUUUAGGUGUAUUGGUAGGAGAGCGUUCUAAGGGCGUUGAAGGCAGAUCGUGAGGACUGCUGGAGCGCUUAGAAGUGAGAAUGCCGGUAUGAGUAGCGAAAGACAGGUGAGAAUCCUGUCCACCGAAUGACUAAGGUUUCCUGGGGAAGGCUCGUCCGCCCAGGGUUAGUCGGGACCUAAGCCGAGGCCGACAGGCGUAGGCGAUGGAUAACAGGUUGAUAUUCCUGUACCCGUUGUUUUUGUUUGAGCAAUGGAGGGACGCAGGAGGCUAAGGAAUGCAGACGAUCGGAAAUGUCUGUCCAAGCAGUAAGUCUGAAGAGGAGUCAAAUGCUUCUUUUCUUAAGGACAAGCUGUGAUGGGGAGGGAAAUAAUAGUACCGAAGUUCCUGAUGUCACACUGCCGAGAAAAGCUUCUAGUGAGAAAACAGCGGCCCGUACCGCAAACCGACACAGGUAGUCGAGGAGAGAAUCCUAAGGUGAGCGAGAGAACUCUCGUUAAGGAACUCGGCAAAAUGACCCCGUAACUUCGGGAGAAGGGGUGCUGAUCAUACGAUCAGCCGCAGUGAAUAGGCCCAAGCGACUGUUUAUCAAAAACACAGGUCUCUGCAAAAUCGUAAGAUGAAGUAUAGGGGCUGACGCCUGCCCGGUGCUGGAAGGUUAAGAGGAGUGCUUAGCGCAAGCGAAGGUACGAAUUGAAGCCCCAGUAAACGGCGGCCGUAACUAUAACGGUCCUAAGGUAGCGAAAUUCCUUGUCGGGUAAGUUCCGACCCGCACGAAAGGCGUAACGAUUUGGGCACUGUCUCAACGA